CCUACGGGAGGCAGCAGUGAGGAAUAUUGGUCAAUGGGCGAGAGCCUGAACCAGCCAAGUCGCGUGAAGGAGUACUGCCCUCUGGUUUGUAAACCUCUUUUGUCGGGGAGCAAAAGCCGGACGUGUCCUGCUGUGAGCUUACCCUAAGAAAAAGCAUCGGCUACCUCCGUGCCAGCAGCCGCGGUAAUACUGCGGAUUCGAGCGUUAUCCGGAUUUAUUGGGUUUAAAGGGUGCGCAGGCGGAUUUUUAAGUCAGCGGUAAAAUCGUGGGGCUCAACCCCAUCCAGCCGUUGAAACUGGGGUGCUAGAGGGUGCGAGAGGUAUGCGGAAUGCGUGGUGUAGCGGUGAAAUGCAUAGAUAGCACGCAGAACCCCGAUUGCGAAGGCAGCAUACUGGUGCACAACUGACGCUCAGGCACGAAAGCGUGGGUAUCGAACAGGAUUAGAUACCCCAGUAGUC
rnacentral:rRNA from 1 species